rnacentral:rRNA from 1 species
GACGACGCUGGCGGCGUGGAUUAGGCAUGCAAGUCGAACGGUAUCAUCCUUUCGGGGGUGAGAGAGUGGCGAACUGGUGAGUAACACGUAGGUUAUCUAUCCUCAAGACGGGAACAACCCAGGGAAACUUGGGCUAAUACCGGAUGUGAGCAACUUUUAGUUGUUUGAAAGGUGGCGUAAGCUGUCGCUUGGGGAUGAGCCUGCGUCCUAUUAGUUAGUUGGUGAGGUAACGGCUCACCUAGGCAAUGAUAGGUAGGCGGCCUUAACGGGUGGUCGCCCACACUGGGAUUGAGAUACGGCCCAGACUCCUACGGGAGGCAGCAGUCGAGAAUAGUCUACAAUGGUCGGAAGACUGAUAGUGCGACGCCGCGUGAACGAUGAAUCCCUUCGGGGUGUAAAGUUCUUUUAUAUGUGAGCAGUGCUUCUUAUAUUAACAGUAUGGGGAGAGAGAUAUUAGCAUAUGAAUAAGCAACGGCUAACUCCGUG